GUAAAGCAGGAGGAAGUGAGAGAAGUUCAAACCCAGAUCAGAGAGGAGGAGGAGAGAUUCAGGGAGGAGCUGAGCUGUUACUGAACUAGAAGAGAGAGAAACCUCCACAUUCAACAGAGUUCAGCACACAAACCAUAAACUUUACCUUCAUUCAACAUGUUGUCUUUGGACUAUUAUGCACUUUCUUUACUGAUUCUCACCAUUCUAACAGGUGUCAGCUGUGAAGAUCUCACUCCAACCAACAAAGAAGUGUUCAGUGUAGAAGGCAGCACUGUUACUCUGUCCUAUAGAUACUCCAAAGCUGCUGAUGGGAAUGAUUAUUUAUUCUGGUAUCGACAAUAUCCUGGAAAACCACCAGAGUUCCUGAUCUCUCACUCAGGGACAGGAGUGGAAAUAUCAGAACCAGUUCGUGGAGUAACCUUUAAAGUGAGUGAAGAUAAAACACUGAUGACUCUUCAGAUCUCCUCUGCUGCAGUGACAGACUCUGCUGUGUACUACUGUGCUGUGAGGCCCACAGUGACAGGAAACACCAAAACUCUGUACAAAAACCUUUGGAGCAAAGACAACAGAAUACUCCACAACAUCCACUAGAGGGAGCCACACACUGUUAAACCUCUGAUUCUUGUGUCAUUGGACUGAUGACAAAGACAACAGAGAAAUGAAGCAGUAAAGAUCAGAGACAGAGACAGAGCUGCUGUGGAAGCACUAAACUAUUUGAUUGGCUCAGCUAUUAAACUGGCCCCGCCCACUGUAAAUUGAGCUCAUCCAAUGACAUUAUUUGUUGGUCCUUGUGCUGCAGUGGAAGAACAUUGUUCAUGUGCUGUCUGUCUGGCUUUAAUAACUCCAAAGACAUGUUGCUGCACCUCUUUUUGCUUCUAUCUCACAUUAUAG